UGGGCUAUAGCUCAGUGGGAGAGCGCUGCCUUGACAUGGCAGAGGUCGACAGUUCAACCCUGUCUAGCCCAACCA
rnacentral:tRNA from 4 species